rnacentral:lncRNA from 1 species
GGCAGAAACCUGCAGGGGGAUCCUUCGCGUUUGUAAACACCCGCACACCCUACACGCUCCCAAAGAACCAGUUCCGGGGAAGACAGAUUUUGCACAGAGGAGGCUGAUUCGGGCAGUACCGUGAGGGAUGGGGAGCGGCAGGUUCUGUGCGCCUGGCGCAGUCAGGAGCUGCGGCUCACUCCCUCGACCAGGCUGGGGAGGCACCGCGGCCGGCCCAGGGACUCCGAGCACCCACAGCUCGGCUGCUGUCAUGGUGGCGGGACACCCACGUCCACAGCUGCGCUCAGGAGCCUGUCCACGAGCAUCCUGGGGGCACCCCAGGCACGUGCGACUCACAGGACAUCCUGCAGUCAUCUCAGGAGACACCCCACCUGACACGGCUAAGGAUUUAAAUUCCAACCCUCACCCCACCAGGUCAAGGACCACGCUGGCUGGCCCCUGCUCCCUGCUAAGCCCAAGAGUGCUUGAGGGUGGGAUUGGGGUGUUAAUCUUGAAGCGAGGCAGCCAGGCGGGCCGACGUGGGCAGGGGGGGCAGCCUUGGUUCCCAGCCCAGGCCAGCACCCUCCGAGGCCCAGGCUGCAGACUCACCCUGUCCGUUUCAAAGCCUUCAGGGCUGGGGGCUGGAUCCAGCCGCCAGCGGGGCCUUGUCUGCCUGAGGGUGCGGCUCCCUAGAUGGGUUCCUGCAGCAGUGCCCUGCAGGUCAACUAGGACGCGCCCCGUAUCCGUCUGCCAGUGGCGUGGAGGGGGAAGACUCAGGCCGGCCAGGGCUGNNNNNNNNNNNNNNNNNNNNNNNNNNNNNNNNNNCCACGGAGCACCGGCCCCCAGAUCUCGCCACCCACUUCCCUGA